AAGUCGUAACAAGGUUUCCGUAGGUGAACCUGCGGAAGGAUCAUUACAGAGUUCAUGCCCUAUGGGUAGAUCUCCCACCCUUGUGUAUUUAUACCAUGUUGCUUUGGCGGGCCGUCAGGCUUCGGCCUGCUCGCGGCUUCGGCUGUGGAGCGCCUGCCAGAGGACCCUAAACUCUUGUUAUCAGUGUCGUCUGAGUACUAUAUAAUAGUUAAAA
rnacentral:misc_RNA from 1 species